AACCAAAAAUAGCUCAAAAAUCUAACCCCACUAAAUUAACAAUAUAAAUUUAAAUAAAACAUUAAAUAUAACUAAAGUAUAGGUGAUAGAAAUUUUAUCUGACGCUAUAGAAAGAGUACCGUAAGGGAAAAAAUGAAAGAA
rnacentral:rRNA from 1 species